UGAACCAUUUAGGUGGUGAUAUAUUAAGAUGAACUUCAAAAUGAUUUUGAAAAUUGUCUUACAGAUAAAAUCUACUAUAACUCUUCAAAGGACCUUCUCAGCUUAUUUUAGACCGAAAUUCAUGAUAGACGCCUAUGCUUCAAGUCUAAUUUACAAGCUUAACAAUGUUGCUUCUUUUUCACUUCGGUGGCUAACUUGUAGAAUGCUUUCCUAACAAGUUGUCUCUAUGAUUUGUGUGAGAUUUCCAAAAGCUUGAAGAACGAGCAUCUACUUAGAAUUUAAUAUGUGCGCAGAUAAUACUUGGACCAUGUUUAGUCUUUUAACUCUUCUUUUAAGAAUAAGUGAUUUGUAUAUCUCUUUGUGUAUUGGUUAUAAUCAUUUAAAUACUUUUCUAAUAUUUCAACACACUUAAUGUUUGAUAUUAUAUCUCAUUGUUAUUUGCAUCGUGGAUUUUCAGGUUGAAGUUGCCAGUGCUUAAAAGAAUAAUGCAUUUGUAACCCAAAUUUUGCUCACGUUACAAUGUAAAGCUGGUUAUUUAAAAUUGGAUGUAGUCAUGAAAAAAUAAUUGAAU
rnacentral:lncRNA from 1 species